CUCUCUCUCUCUCUCUGCACACACAGUUCCCUCUCUUCCUUCUUACGGGGCGCGCGUGUGUCUAUGUGCGUGUGCGUGUGCCCGCGCGUGUGUGCGUGUGUGUGUACGUAAGACAGACAAACACGCACAUGAGACGAAACUGUGUGUACGUUUCCAAAAAUCGAGAGAAAAAGUGAGAAAGUGAGCAAAUUAGAGAAAGUGAGCGAAUUAAAGAUAGAGAUAGAGUUUUCUUAAGGAUUGAAGUGGAAAAGAACCAGAAAAUAGAAAUAAAUAAAUAAAUAAAAA